UACGAAGGGGGCUAGCGUUGUUCGGAAUUACUGGGCGUAAAGCGUGCGCAGGCGGCUUCUCAAGACAGGGGUGAAAGCCCAGAGCUCAACUCUGGAAUUGCCUUUGAGACUGAGUGGCUUGAGUACGAGAGAGGUGAGUGGAAUUCCCAGUGUAGAGGUGAAAUUCGUAGAUAUUGGGAAGAACACCGGUGGCGAAGGCGGCUCACUGGCUCGUAACUGACGCUCAUGCACGACAGCGUGGGGAUCAAACAGG
rnacentral:rRNA from 1 species